CUAAGGUAGCAUAAUCAUUUGUUAUCUAAAUGAUAACUAGUAUGAAUGGUCUGACGAGAAAAUAACUUUCUAAAAAGAAAUAAUAAAAAUUUAUAUUAAAGUAAAAAAGCUUUAAAAACUUAGAAAGACGAGAAGACCCUAGAACCUGUCUAUCUGCAUAGUUUGUUGGGGUGACAUUUUUUUAAAACAAAUAACUAUUUUAACUCAUUAAGAGACUUAACCUAUCUUUUAAAAAAAAGAAAAAGGUACUCUAGGGAUAACAGCAUAAUCUUCUUUUAGAGCCCUAAUCGACAAGAAAGAUUUUGACCUCGAUGUUGAAUUGAUAUUCCUUCUUAAAGCAGAAUUUCUA
rnacentral:rRNA from 1 species